CCUAACCCUUGGAUGGCCUGCUGUUACAGAGAGAAUUUGCGGUUAAAUCAUGUUAGAUCCGCACUGUGAACGUACUUUUAACACAACACUUUGUUUUUGACACAAUGAUUUGUACUAUCAAUGCGCGGAUCCGCGGCUAAACCGGCUUUCCACCUGAGUGGAAAGAAGCUGCAUCCACCUGUUGUCCGCGGAUUUAACUAUGACAUCAGGAGCCCCUGUCCUUCUGCUGAGUGUCCCCAUCAGGAGCCCGGCACGCUGAUCAGAAAAUAUACUAUGGUUAAUAAGAAGAUGGACAUAACAGCAUGAUAAAGACCCUCUGGAG